ACUACACAUUUCAGGAGGUAAAGCACUUAGCAAGCUGUGACAACAGAAAGUCUUACAGGGCCAUAGGAAUGGGCAGGAAAAUCGAAGAUGGCCUUCAAGGUAGAUAGUCAUGAUGUGUUUAGGGUAAAGUAACUCAAACCACAUAUGAACUGAUUGGUUCUGACCCACUCAGUAUAAACUGGAAGAGAUUUUCUGUUUUUGCAGCCUGUUCCUCUCCUGUUUCUAGUUGGUCAAGACAACAAAUAAAGUAUCUAAAAUAACUCUAGAGCCUUGGAAAUCAUGUGGUCUAUUGAUCACUUGAAUCUUACAGAUGGGAAACCUGACAGCUAAGUAGCUUGUCCAAGGUCCAACAACUACGUAGAGAAUGUACGCGUACUAUACAAGAUGGAAUGCAUUAGUCUACCUUACAUGACACUAAAGUACCCGGGGAGUUUACAGAACCUUUUUAGGUUAACGAGGCAGAAGGUUGCCAAAUGCUCCCUAAAAUGUUCCACUGUAGACAAAACACUGAGAUGGAUAGAUAGAUACCUCACGACUGGUAAGAUUUUUCCAAACAAUCUUAUAUAACCUAAUAAAUCAGGUAGCUAGGGCUUCACAGUGAAAUCACAACCGAGUUUAGUACCAGCAUAAUGACGCUAGCCCUGACAUCUGUUAGUCUAGGGAAAAGUAAAUCUUCCUCUUUUGGAUGAGGCAGGGAAUGAUCAGCAGAUGGUGCUCCAUGGAAUUUCAGAGAACUUCUAGAUUUCCUCCGCUUCUGUGCUAAUUAGAAACGCCUGGUGCCAGGGGCCACGAUCCUGUAGCUUCAGAUAGCCUUAUGUCCUGCCCGGUGCCUGCUGAGGCCUGUGAAUGCUUCACCUCCCUACUCCCAGCUCACCGCAUUCUCUUGAGCCCAACACCAUACCUUACGCAGUGAGCUGAACAUUGAUCUUUGUCUCUUCUCACCAGGGCAACUCCAUAUGUCAAGCAUUUCCAAUACUCUUUAUUUCAUGGAUCACUUUAAUUUGCCAUUUAAAACCAUUUCCACUGUUCAAGUGGAACUUCAUGAAAUUCCAUAGAUGUGAUUUUUGAAAAUCUUUAACCUGCAUUAGGACUAAGAGCAUGUCUGUGUUGGAGCCAGGGGUAAAAGCUGCUGGCAUUCCUAAGAGUGACAACCGGAAGUAAACACCUAUCAAUCAACAAACACACUGUGCUCUCAAGUUCAAAGAGCUGAAGUUAGGGAGCAAAGCAGAGGAUGACCUGUUUUGAUCAGAAGAAUGAGGCUGACAGGCACAUAUAAGGAGUGUAUGACAGAGAGGCUCCUCCCUCCACUGGUCCCCGGAAGGACUGUGUGCACCCAGAGAAGUGACAGGCAGCAGUGGCAGGCUUCUCUUUAAUCCAGUGCAAACCAGUCAUGGUAACAUUUGGAUGGUACAGGUGAAGCAGAUAAAAGACCCUACAUGUCUUGCCGUGUGGUGAAGCCACAGAAGGAGUCCUCACAAGAAGGCAGAAGAGCCUCAGAGAACAUAGGGACAUCUGAGAGACAGCUCAUCAUGCCACCAAACAACACAGCAGGCAAUGGGACACAAACAUCUCCAAGGAGAGAAACAGGAAGAUCCAGGCCUCCUAGUAACCACUGGAAUAGGAAGCCACAUUCAUCUUUCAAGCUCUCUCCAGACUUCGCCUGGCCCUGUGAGUCCUGGCACGAGACAUUCGGCUGUGUCAGCCAGUCUCCUCACAUGUAAAACAUGAAGAAUUCAGCCACUGGAAGCCACAUGCUAGACGUAGUAAUAAAGCCUACGAGGCUGGAUAUGGUUCAAAGGGUUUCAUUGCCUUUGUAUUUCUUUCUGUUCCUGGCUCCUCUGGGUGAUUCUCCCAGUGAGAAUGCUAACAGGGGCUGAUUACUCCUCCCCCAGGAGAUGAGGUGCAACCCACUGGCCUUGGGAAUGCUGUUUCUCAAAGUGUGGUUCGGGGACCGGGACCCUUGUCAGACACGCACAGCUUGGAGCCCAUCGGGGGCUGCUGCACACGCUACCCAUGUCUUGCGAAUGUGCUCUGAUUGGUUGUUCAGCAUAAGUCUCAAGUUCAUCGGUUUACAUAGGGGUUUACUUCUCCUGCAAAGGUGCCUGCUUAGGUAUUUACUAAUACUUAGUUAUAAUUUAUAUUAUCAUUUAUUUUAAGUAUUAAUGUCAAUAAUAGUAUUUAUUAUAUUUAAUUCUACUUUAGUAUUAUUAUUUUAUAAUUUAAUACGUCCACAGUGUGUUACAAUGGAUGUACCAAAUGCGUCCACCUGGCUAAUGAUCUUAACUAGGGCUUAUUCUUGUGGUAGAGCUUAUAUUACGAGGAUUCUGAAAAAUCAUGCUAAGCCUUAUUUUCCAGUUGGGUCUUAUUCUUGGGGAACUAAGGGAGAAGUUUACAAAUGUUUAAGACCAGCCAUGAAGAGUUGCAGAGUAUCUCAACCUAUCUUCUUGUGUAUCAGAACAGCCAGUGGGGUCUGUCCUAGUUGCCUCAUUGCUGGUGUCUUAACGGAGGUCACCUGAGGAGAAGGUGACAUAGCUGUAUCUCCAGGUCUACACGUCAGAUCGGGUCUUUAGACGUCACAUCCUGUUCUCUCACUCAGGAGCCCAUGAUUAUUUCCACUGAGCCUGGUCCCUUGCCAGGCCUGAUGUAGAGCUAGCAGUCUGUCCUUCCAGCCCGGCUCUGUCCUGGGGCACCAGCCACCAUGCCAGUCUCCUUUUAGGCUCUGCCAGGGUGUGGGCAGGGCAGGCAGGUAUGCUGGAGGGCAGGCAGCUGGCCUGGCGACCUUUCUCUUGGCUGAGCUGGGGUGAGUCUGGAAAUGCGCUGGCUGAAGGUGGCAGUGUGUGUGGGAAAAACACCUCUUAACACAGAGCCUGCGUGUUGGGCUCCCAUUGUGCAGGUGCAGGCUGGUGCGUGCUGGGGAUGUGUUUUCACUUACCCACAACACCAGCCCCUUUGGUUUCCGGCCAGCAAUUGCCUGUGCUUCAUCACCCUGCUGAAAGGGCCUGCUGCCCUGUGCUCUGCCCAGCACCCCGCUAGCUGCCAGCUGGCUCCAGGCUCCUUGGUGGAGCCCUGGCUUCCUGGACCCUUCAGCAAAGGCCCCCUAUUUGGGCCAUGUGGACUUACUUCUCUCUUUCCAAUCUCAUGGAUAUGUAUGAGGCUCUUUUCUAACUCUGAAGCCCUUUCUCCCAGAGUUGCUGCAGUUCCACAGAACAAAGGUGAUCAGCCACACUCACAGUGUCCCCUGUACCUGGCCCAGGACCCCAGCCAGGGCAGGGCUGUGCAGCACGCUUGAUGGGCCUGAUAGGAUGACCGAGACUGUUGCUGGAGAGAGGAUCUUUAGAGAGGUGAUCAAAUGAAGUGAAGUCAAAUUCAAUGCUUAGGUUCAAUGUUGACCUUACAGAAAAUUUGAUUUGGUUCUCAUCCAGUUUGGCUCAAAACCACAAGCAUGGAAAGAACUAAGUCCGUGCACCGAGGUAGCACUGUAUUUCUGACUCAUCUGAGCCUCAGACUCCAGCCUGAGUGUGCACACCCUGCUUAUCCCGGCCACUGGGUGGUCUCCCAGAUGUGAGGUCCCCACCUCCCCUCCGGAGACCCUUCUUGGCUUCUCCCUGCUUUGACAUCACCCUUCUCUCUGUGUGUACGAAGGCAGUGGCCAGGACACGAACAUGACACGGAAAGAGCACUAAUCGUGGAACAGUGGCAAGAAGAUGUGUGUCCCAGGCAGGGAGGAGAUUCCUCAGGUGUUGUGUUGAUAUCACAAAGCCACAGAGAAGUGGCUGAGGUCCAGCUCAGUUCAUCACUACCGUCCUGAACCUCGAGGAUUCCUGGGAGCCCCUUUCAAAUGUCCUUGGCUACUUUAAAAUGGGCCCAGAGUGGCUACUCCUUCCUUUGGGUUGCUGCACCAGUGCUCACAUUCACGUGUCUCACCUGACUUGGACCACCGGGUGCUGUGAUAGUUUCAGACGCGAGGGGACCAGGAUUUUGUCCUUCUGAGCCACCGAGGCUGCUCCCGCCUGCCGCUCAGAGUUGGUUAAGGCGAGCAUCACCUCCAGUUAGAAGCAGCCAGAAUGUGUCCCUGGCCCCAUCAGCAGCGACAUCCUCAGAGGGACACUGCCGAAGGCUAAGGUACUCUGGUGGCCCCUCGGGUCACAGCAGCUGCACUGGAAAUCAGCACCAGUGAGCCGCAGUGGGACCUAGGUCACCCUCAAGCCAGUCCACAUUUCCGCAGAGCCUGCAGGGCGAGUUCUCAGGCUAGCUGGAGAGCUGUGGGUUUGGAGUCCGACAGGCCUGGCUGAGAAUCCUGUCAUUUCAUUACCCUGAGCCCCAAGUGUCCCCAUCUGUAAAACCCAGAUAAUAAAACCUGUCCUAGAGAGUGGUUUGCAUGGAUUAAGUGAAAUAAAUAGGCACAGCACUUGGCACAUGAAAAGGUUCUUAAAAAUAGUAGUUGCUAUUCCAUAUAUCUUGAUUCCACUCCAUGACAGCAGUGUAAGAGCUCUCUUCCAAAAAGCAUCAAGUGUAUAUUUUUACAGUCAGCAUUUGAUUCCAAAAUGAUAUGCGCCAGAGGGUUCUUACAGAAUUGCACUUCCUGUGUCUGGGGGCCUGCACUCCCGAAGGCAGCUGCAUGAACGAAGGUGAGGUCAGGAAAGAGCCUCUCAGUUAAAGUGGGCUGAACUCUUCUUGCUUCCAUCCUUCUCUUUCCCAGCCAUGUUUAAGUGCAGAUUCGGGGGGAGGUUAGACCUGCGGCUUGGUCGGGGCAAUGACAACCACCCACACCAUCCCGUGUGACACCCAGGUGAGAUCAGAGGUAAAGGGAUUCACCUGGGCUGUGUCACCAUCUGUGCAUAGAUGGCAGGAGACUUCGGAUUGAAUUGCUUGAAUUUCCUGGCCAGAGAACCAGGAAACAGCACAAGAAAACCAGGGCAGCCAGGCCACAGGGUUACCGCAGAACCUAGACAGCGCCCACAGAAUCCAGCCACACGCAGAGAGGAGGCCACUCAGACCAAACACAUAGUGGCAACUUCCCCUCUCUGACCGAUCAGCACCAGUUCAGCCUGUUCUAAUCUCCUCACCUGCCCCAUCCCGGCUGAUUAAGCACUAACUAGUUAACAACCAGCAGUUACUAGAUUAUUGUGAUAUCCGGUCACUCAGCUGCCAUCCCUCCUGGCAGAAUCCACGCCAGAACCGCUCGACCUUCCUUAGCCUCACCCUGUCUCCUAGGCUGCCUCUUCAACUCUGUCCACUCGGGACACUCAGGGCUUCUCUGGGGCGCCUUCUCCCUGUUUGCACUGAGCUACAGAAACCUCCCUUGCUUUAACACCUGCCCAACAUUGAUAUUCUAAGAAUCUGGUGACACAGAGCUGGUAGGGACGAAUUUUCAAGGCUGAAAUUGCUGUUGGUUGAUAAGCUAGUAUGAUGCAGAAUUUCCAAACACUUCUCUUUUCAGUCUCAGAAGAAAGGAUUUUGUGAUGGAAGAUAAGUGUUCAAGCUCCACAGUGUGUUCCUGCUUUGGUUUCACCAUCUAAAGCUCUCCUGGGAUUUGGUGUUUGGAGGAGCAAUUAACAAGAAUGCUUCAGAGACUGGCCCAGGGCGCUGGCCUGCAUGGGAGGCAGAGCUGAAGGUUUCUUGGGUGCAGGGCCAGGGAGGGUUGCACAGCUGGUGAGCCCCACCCAAGCUUUCUUUGGCUGACAUCGCUCCCCACGCACAGGCAUGGCCGGAGAUCAGGCUAUCAGCCAGCAAGUGCCCUUCCCUGGGUGUCUCCAAUUUCACUCUCAUUUUCAAACCUCCAUGUCGAGGCUUUGGGUUAGACUUCUCCUUCUUCAAGGUUUAAUUCAAGUUCCACCUCCUCUGUGAAGCCUUCUGGGCUUCGUACAUAAUAUCAUUUGCACACUUCUUAGGUUGAAAUUAUGUGCCCCCCCACACCCCUGCAGGGGAUUGGAAACUCCCUGGCAAAUGGAAUUGUGCUAUUUUUUGGUACUGACCAUGGGGCUGGUACACAGCACGUGGCUAAUGAAUGCUGUCUUUUGGUGCUGCUUAUCUUGUUAUAUGUUUUUCACCAUACUGGUUUCUUUUGGGACCCAAGGCUGGAACGUUUGUCACCAGAAAGCUCUUCCCCACCAAGGAAAGGCCAGUCUUGGUCAGCUGAGAAGUCCCUGGCCCUGUCCAGCUGGUAAUGCCCAGCUCAUGUGAAAAGAAUUUCCCUGAUCACAUUUUCAGGCGGCCAAGGCAUAGUUCAGAGUGGAAGGUGAAUCAGCCACCACAGUGACUUCUCACAUUUCAAGGGAGUCUUGCCUUGGAAAUUUUUAUUCACAAACUGCUUCACUACACUAAAAAAAAUUUACAAAAGAACUGCUUUAUUUUCAGCAUGCUGAUGUCUGGUUUUGGAAGAAUGCAUUUUCUUGAAUGUCUUGGAUUAAGAACAAUGUAAACCGAGGGAAGUGGCCAUCCAGAGGCCCUCAAUGAGGACCCGGGUGCCUCCUCCUCAGCGCCUUGGAGGCCAUCUUGCUUCUGUGGGGAGAGACAAGGCCUCCUGGGCCUGGAAGCCAGGCGGCUCCAUCUUGGCUCUUCCACUCACUGUUUGUGUUUUCCUAGUGGUUCUCUGUGGGUCCAGGGCCCGCAGAACCACUGGGAACUUGUCAGAAAUGCUAAUUUCCAGGCCCACGGAGCCUGCAGCUCUGCCCACACCCCGGCCCACCACGAGCU